rnacentral:lncRNA from 1 species
GCCAGCUUCAGUUGUAAUCAGUGCUAAAGAAAUAAUGCUGCUUCCAGCACACUGAGCUACAGCUGGAGGGGCUGCAUGAAUUCCUCAAGGCUACACAUCCAUACGAAUGUCGAAGCCUGAAAGGGAGAGGUCAGCCACACCUCCUACACACAGCUUUCUGCCUCACCUUUGCUUUGCUCCGGGCUGAUCAUCAAAAUUAGGCUUUCUGCCCUCCAAGUCCCCUUCAAGCAGGGUGGGGAGUCAUCCCACACAGCACCUGUGAAGCUGUUUCGGCAAGAGAACCUGGCCAGACCUAGCACCUCAACACUGGGACCCUGCUCAUUCAGAAAAGGCCUGCAAUACAGUAUGGAAGUAUUUAGCAUGCGCACAAGAGUUAGAGUGUUCACAUGGAGAAAAGCAGUGCUGGCUCUCCUCUCCUGCCACUCAUUACACUUGGAAGAUAAUUAGGACUUGAACACCCAUGACCAGGUCCACUGCCAAAUGUGAGGACUAAUCCUUUCUCCGGAAAAAUAGACUGAAGUCUUUACAACACAGUCAUCAAGUCAAUGCUUACCAACUGGGGAUAAAUCCAGUGCCCUAGAGGGCAUUAGUCCUGCUGACAGAAAAGGCAGCUAAG